rnacentral:rRNA from 1 species
CCUACGGGUGGCAGCAGUGAGGAAUCUUGGUCAAUGGCCGGAAGGCUGAACCAGCCAUGCCGCGUGAAGGUCAGUGCCCUAUGGGCGUUAAACUUCUUUUGUGCGGGAGCAAUAAUGGUCACGUGUGGCCAGACGAGAGUACCGUACGAAUAAGCAUCGGCUAACUCCGUGCCAGCAGCCGCGGUCAUACGGGGGAUGCAAGCGUUAGCCGGAUUUAUUGGGUUUAAAGGGUGCGUAGGCUGUGAGGUAAGUCAGCGGUGAAAUGCCCCCGCUCAACGGGGUGAAGUGCCAUUGAUACUGCCUGGCUGGAAUGCGGAUGCCGUGGGAGGAAUGUGUGGUGUAGCGGUGAAAUGCAUAGAUAUCACACAGAACACCGAUUGCGAAGGCAUCUCACGAAUCCGCGAUUGACGCUGAUGCACGAAAGCGUGGGUAUCAAACAGGAUUAGAUACCCUUGUAGUC